GUGUUCGCUUCAGCAGCACAUAUGCUAAAAUUGGAAGAUACAGAGAAGAUUAGCAUGGCCCCUGGGCAAGGAUGACACGCAUAUUCAUGAAGCGUUCCAUAUUUAA
ensembl:snRNA U6 U6 spliceosomal RNA